rnacentral:rRNA from 1 species
GACGAACGCUGGCGGCGUGCUUAACACAUGCAAGUCGAACGGUGAAGCGCCUUCCUUUUUGGUGGGUGUGGAUGAGUGGCGAACGGGUGAGUAACACGUGAGUAACCUGCCCCCUUCUUCUGGAUAACCGCAUGAAAGUGUGGCUAAUACGGGAUAUUCUGGGUCUGUCGCAUGAUGGGUCUGGGAAAGAUAUUGUUUCGGUGGGGGAUGGGCUCGCGGCCUAUCAGCUUGUUGGUGGGGUGAUGGCCUACCAAGGCGGUGACGGGUAGCCGGCCUGAGAGGGUGGACGGUCACACGGGGACUGAGACACGGCCCAGACUCCGACGGGAGGCAGCAGUGUGGAAUAUUGCACAAUGGGCGUAAGCCUGAUGCAGCGACGCCGCGUGAGGGAUGGAGGCCUUCGGGUUGUGAUCCUCUUUCGCCAGUGAAGCAGGCCUGCCUCGUUUGUGGGUGGGUUGACGGUAGCUGGAUAAGAAGCGCCGGCUAACUACGUG